GCGGUUGUAGCUCAGUGGAUAGAGCGUCUGUUUCCAAGCUGAAGGUCGUAGGUUCGACCUUCCCUUACGCG
rfam:Nicotiana sylvestris Nsyl_contig38778, whole genome shotgun sequence.